rnacentral:rRNA from 1 species
UACGAAGGGGGCUAGCGUUGCUCGGAAUCACUGGGCGUAAAGCGCACGUAGGCGGAUUGUUAAGUCAGGGGUGAAAUCCUGGAGCUCAACUCCAGAACUGCCUUUGAUACUGGGAAGCUUGAGUCCGGAAGAGGUGAGUGGAACUCCGAGUGUAGAGGUGAAAUUCGUAGAUAUUCGCAAGAACACCAGUGGCGAAGGCGGCUCACUGGCCCGAUACUGACGCUGAGGCACGAAAGCGUGGGGAGCAAACAGG